AUGGCCAAGGGAAAAGAUGUUAGAAUCAGAGUUAUUUUGGAAUGCAUCAGUUGUGUUCGAAAAGGUGCCAAUGAGGAAUCGACGGGGAUUUCUAGAUAUAGUACUCAAAAGAAUCGCCACAAUACACCCGGACAAUUAGAAUUCAAAAAAAUUUGUUGUUAUUGUCGCAAGCAUACGACUCAUCACAAAAUAAAGAAAUAG
rnacentral:rRNA from 1 species